rnacentral:rRNA from 1 species
GACGAACGCUGGCGGCGUGUUUAACACAUGCAAGUCGAACGGAAAGGCCUGCUUUCCCUUGUGGAUUGCGGGUACUCGAGUGGCGAACGGGUGAGUAACACGUGAGUGAUCUGCCCCCAACUUGGGUAUAAGCCUGGGAAACUGGGUCUAAUUCCCGAUAGGACUGCAGGGUGGUGCCUGUGGUGGAAAACGAUUUUCUAGUGGUUGGGGAUGAGCUCGCGGCCUAUCAGCUUGUUGGUGGGGUAAUGGCCUACCAAGGCGGCGACGGGUAGCCGGCCUGAGAGGGUGGACGGCCACAUUGGGACUGAGAUACGGCCCAGACUCCUACGGGAGGCAGCAGUGGGGAAUAUUGCACAAUGGGCGGAAGCCUGAUGCAGCGACGCCGCGUGGGGGAUGACGGCCUUCGGGUUGUAAACUCCUUUCGACCGCGAGGAAGCCACCUGGUUGGAAGGGUGGUGACGGUAGUGGUAGAAGAAGCACCGGCUAACUACGUG